AUCAUACUCCCUUCAUUCGGAAUUACUUGUCUCGGAAAUGAAUGUAUCUAGAAUUAAAAUACAUCUAGAUACAUUCAUUUCUAUGACAAGUAAUUUCGAACGGAGAGAGUACAUG
rnacentral:pre_miRNA from 1 species